ensembl:snRNA U6 U6 spliceosomal RNA
GUGCUAGGUUUGACAGCAUAUAUAUUAAAGUUGGAAAAAUACAGAGAAGAUUGGUAUGGCCAUUGUGCAAAGAAGACACAAAUCCUGGAAGCAACUCAUAUUUUU